GAUGAAGAACGUAGUGAAAUGCGAUAACUAGUGUGAAUUGCAGAAUUCCGUGAAUCAUCGAGUCUUUGAACGCACAUUGCGCCCCCUGGUAUUCCGGGGGGCAUGCCUGUCCGAGCGUCAUUGCUGCCCUCAAGCACGGCUUGUGUGUUGGGCCUCCGCCCCCCGGCUCCCGGGGGGCGGGCCCGAAAGGCAGCGGCGGCACCGCGUCCGGUCCUCGAGCGUAUGGGGCUUCGUCACCCGCUCCGUAGGCCCGGCCGGCGCCCGCCGGCGACCCCCCUCAAUCUUUCCAGGUUGACCUCGGAUCAGGUAGGGAUACCCGCUGAACUUAAGCAUAUCAAUAAGCGGAGGA
rnacentral:misc_RNA from 1 species